UAACUCUCAAAACAACGAUGCUUUAAUCAAAUAGCUUAAAUUCGCUCUGAAAUCCGUGAGGGAACAACAAAAUUCGGCCAAAAUAUAUCCGCGUGCCGGGUUUGCUGUGCAAAAAGCGGAAGUCGUUGGAACAACUCAAGAUACACUCAACCCUGAUUGGAUAACGAAUAUCAACAAACAUUUCAAUUUUUUUUAACAAACACAAUGUGAAAUACAAUUUAUUAUACAUAUUAACGUACUACAGUAAUAUUUACAUGCAGUA